rnacentral:rRNA from 1 species
GUGCCUAAUACAUGCAAGUCGAGCGAACAGACGAGGAGCUUGCUUCUCUGACGUUAGCGGCGGACGGGUGAGUAACACGUGGAUAACCUACCUAUAAGACUGGGAUAACUUCGGGAAACCGGAGCUAAUACCGGAUAAUAUAUUGAACCGCAUGGUUCAAUAGUGAAAGACGGUUUUGCUGUCACUUAUAGAUGGAUCCGCGCCGCAUUAGCUAGUUGGUAAGGUAACGGCUUACCAAGGCAACGAUGCGUAGCCGACCCGAGAGGGUGAUCGGCCACACUGGAACUGAGACACGGUCCAGACUCCUACGGGAGGCAGCAGUAGGGAAUCUUCCGCAAUGGGCGAAAGCCUGACGGAGCAACGCCGCGUGAGUGAUGAAGGUCUUCGGAUCGUAAAACUCUGUUAUUAGGGAAGAACAAAUGUGUAAGUAACUAUGCACGUCUUGACGGUACCUAAUCAGAAAGCCACGGCUAACUACGUGCCAGCAGCCGCGGUAAUACGUAGGUGGCAAGCGUUAUCCGGAAUUAUUGGGCGUAAAGCGCGCGUAGGCGGUUUUUUAAGUCUGAUGUGAAAGCCCACGGCUCAACCGUGGAGGGUCAUUGGAAACUGGAAAACUUGAGUGCAGAAGAGGAAAGUGGAAUUCCAUGUGUAGCGGUGAAAUGCGCAGAGAUAUGGAGGAACACCAGUGGCGAAGGCGACUUUCUGGUCUGUAACUGACGCUGAUGUGCGAAAGCGUGGGGAUCAAACAGGAUUAGAUACCCUGGUAGUCCACGCCGUAAACGAUGAGUGCUAAGUGUUA